rnacentral:rRNA from 1 species
GACGAACGCUGGCGGCGUGCCUAACACAUGCAAGUCGAACGGACGAAGCCCUUCGGGGCCUAGUUAGUGGCGAACGGGUGAGUAACGCGUGAGGAACCUGCCUUUCAGAGGGGGACAACAGUUGGAAACGACUGCUAAUACCGCAUAAUGCAUCGAGACCGCAUGAUCUUGAUGCCAAAGAUUUAUCGCUGAAAGAUGGCCUCGCGUCUGAUUAGCUAGUUGGCGGGGUAACGGCCCACCAAGGCGACGAUCAGUAGCCGGACUGAGAGGUUGAACGGCCACAUUGGGACUGAGAUACGGCCCAGACUCCUACGGGAGGCAGCAGUGGGGAAUAUUAGGCAAUGGGGGAAACCCUGACCUAGCAACGCCGCGUGAAGGAAGAAGGCUUUCGGGUUGUAAACUUCUUUUACCAGGGACGAAGAACGUGACGGUACCUGGAGAAAAAGCAACGGCUAACUACGUG